rnacentral:rRNA from 1 species
AGUUUGAUCCUGGCUCAGAUUGAACGCUGGCGGCAUGCUUUACACAUGCAAGUCGAACGGCAGCGCGGGGCAACCUGGCGGCGAGUGGCGAACGGGUGAGUAAUAUAUCGGAACGUACCCAAGAGUGGGGGAUAACGUAGCGAAAGUUACGCUAAUACCGCAUACGAUCUAUGGAUGAAAGUGGGGGAUCGCAAGACCUCAUGCUCCUGGAGCGGCCGAUAUCUGAUUAGCUAGUUGGUAGGGUAAAGGCCUACCAAGGCGACGAUCAGUAGCUGGUCUGAGAGGACGACCAGCCACACUGGAACUGAGACACGGUCCAGACUCCUACGGGAGGCAGCAGUGGGGAAUUUUGGACAAUGGGCGCAAGCCUGAUCCAGCAAUGCCGCGUGAGUGAAGAAGGCCUUCGGGUUGUAAAGCUCUUUUGUCAGGGAAGAAACGGCCCAGGUUAAUACCUUGGGCUAAUGACGGUACCUGAAGAAUAAGCACCGGCUAACUACGUG